UUAGUAUUUGCAAAAAUUCAUAUUCUUUCUCUAAGAACUAAAGCUUUCUCUCUAAUGGCAAAGCUAUCAGCUUUUGAAUGUGUUGCAUGCGUAUGAAGGAAGCAGAAGAAUAAGAAUUAGAAGAAGGAUUUAAAGUGGUUUGGCAACAGAGGGCUACGUCCACUAGCAUCAACCUUGAAGGUGGAUACAAAUUCAGAUAAGUAUCUAACUCUCUAAUUCUUACUCUCUUAGCUUGUUUGAAAAUGAAAUGGAGCUUUAUAUAGAAGAGUGAAUUAGUUACAAACUAGUUUAGAUACCGUUUUUCUUAUAUAUUACUUUCAUACUGAGAAGAAAUAGUCUUCUGUCUUCAACAAUCUCCACCUUAAAAGUAAUUGUAAGAAAUAACUGCUCCCUUUCUUGAUGGUGUUCAUCCUUUUUCAGGUAAAUUGAAGCCUAUCAGCUCUAGACACUUCAGAAAUUUGAGUUGGGAUGUGGGCUUCGUCAGAAUAUCUAUUGCGUUCUCAUCGUGAAGAAAAGAAACAUAUAGAAAAAUCUCACAGGGAGUUCUGAGAUCUAAGACUCUUCAUCACUUCUCCUCUCUCAAUCCCUUCCCUCACCAAAAUAGUCAGAGUCCAUUCAUCCUGGACUCUCAUCUAGAGAAUACUGAGAGUCUGUAAUUUAAAGUUUUGAGUCGCUCGUGCUGUUUCCAGUUAGUUUCGGAGAAAAUUCAAAACAAUGCUACGAUGAGGAAGAAAGCUUUUGCUAUAAGAUCGUGUAGCU